rnacentral:rRNA from 1 species
UACGAAGGGGGCUAGCGUUGUUCGGAAUUACUGGGCGUAAAGCGCACGUAGGCGGAUAUUUAAGUCAGGGGUGAAAUCCCAGAGCUCAACUCUGGAACUGCCCUUGAUACUGGCGAUCUCGAGUUCGGGAGAGGUGAGUGGAACUGCGAGUGUAGAGGUGAAAUUCGUAGAUAUUCGCAAGAACACCAGUGGCGAAGGCGGCUCACUGGCCCGAUACUGACGCUGAGGUGCGAAAGCGUGGGGAGCAAACAGG